rnacentral:rRNA from 1 species
AGUGAACGCUGGCGGUAGGCCUAACACAUGCAAGUCGAACGGCAGCACAGGAGAGCUUGCUCUCUGGGUGGCUAGUGGCGGACGGGUGAGGAAUACAUCGGAAUCUACUCUGUCGUGGGGGAUAACGUAGGGAAACUUACGCUAAUACCGCAUACGACCUACGGGUGAAAGUGGGGGACCGCAAGGCCUCACGCGAUUGAAUGAGCCGAUGUCGGAUUAGCUAGUUGGCGGGGUAAAGGCCCACCAAGGCGACGAUCCGUAGCUGGUCUGAGAGGAUGAUCAGCCACACUGGAACUGAGACACGGUCCAGACUCCUACGGGAGGCAGCAGUGGGGAAUAUUGGACAAUGGGCGCAAGCCUGAUCCAGCCAUACCGCGUGAGUGAAGAAGGCCCUCGGGUUGUAAAGCUCUUUUGUUGGGAAAGAAAUCCUGUCGGUUAAUACCUGGCAGGGAUGACGGUACCCAAAGAAUAAGCACCGGCUAACUUCGUGCCAGCAGCCGCGGUAAUACGAAGGGUGCAAGCGUUACUCGGAAUUACUGGGCGUAAAGCGUGCGUAGGUGGUUGUUUAAGUCUGUCGUGAAAGCCCUGGGCUCAACCUGGGAAUUGCGAUGGAUACUGGGCAACUAGAGUGUGGUAGAGGGUGGCGGAAUUCCCGGUGUAGCAGUGAAAUGCGUAGAGAUCGGGAGGAACAUCCGUGGCGAAGGCGGCCACCUGGGGCCAACACUGACACUGAGGCACGAAAGCGUGGGGGAGCAAACAGGAUUAGAUACCCUGGUA